UAAUUGAAGUCACCUGUGGUUAAUGAUUGAGCCCCUGCAGUUUGAGAGUAUAAAAGCAGCUGAAAACCACUUUUAACUUUACCUUCACUGCCUGCCACCAUGUCUUUCUCUGGAAAGUACCAGCUUGAGUCCAAGGAGAACUUUGAGCCUUUCAUGAAGGCUGUUGGUCUUCCUGAUGAACUUAUUCAGAAAGGAAAAGAUGUCAAGAGCAUCACUGAAAUCGAGCAGAAUGGCGACAACUUCAAAGUGACGAUCACAUCUGGAGGCCAUGUAAGCACCAACAGCUUCACCAUUGGAAAGGAGACUGAGGUGGACUCAAUGACUGGAGAGAAAAUCAAGACCGUGAUUCGGCUGGAAGGCAACAAGUUGAAGACUUCAUUGAAGGGAAUUGAGUCUGUCACUGAAUUGGUGGAUGCGAACACAAUGGUCACUACGAUGACUCAUGGGGACAUUGUGUACAAGACUAUAAGCAAACGUAUGUGAGUGUCUGCACUUGGGAUAAUAGUCUUGAAAUUUAGUUUUCUCUUGGCAAAAUUGCCAAACUGAAUAGUGGCAGAAAGCAAUGUCACAAAAUUGAAUGUGUAGUGAGCUUGGUUUACUUUACCUUUGCUGGUAGAGUUUAUCUAACUUGUUCAGAUAAUUUAAUUACAAGUGGGACAUUAAAGUCUGAUUAGCAGCUGCACCAGAUUUCACUUUAACAAAUUCCUUUGAGCAUGUGCUAUUCUUGGACUGUCUGGUGUGACUACAAGUUUGAUUCAAGCGCUAAUGUGUGAACCCAGUAAGGGGGUGUUUGUCUGAAAUCUACUGAUGUGACCAUGACCUCAACUGGCUACAAACUGAAGAGUCCAAGCUGACACUAGCCAUUUGUAUCAAAGGGUUGAUCGUAAAACAGGAGGUCUUUUAGUUGGCACUACACCCCUGUACAGCUUACAGUAAAGACUAGGACGUUCAUAUAUUGACUGCUGUAACAACUGAAUUUCCCUUCCGAGAUCAAUAAAGUAUUCCUGCUUUGCUGAA